rnacentral:rRNA from 1 species
UACGAAGGGUGCAAGCGUUACUCGGAAUUACUGGGCGUAAAGCGUGCGUAGGCGGUUCGUUAAGUCUGAUGUGAAAUCCCCGGGCUCAACCUGGGACGUGCAUUGGAAACUGGCGAUCUAGAGUACGGUAGAGGGUGGUGGAAUUCCCGGUGUAGCAGUGAAAUGCGUAGAGAUCGGGAGGAACACUCGUGGCGAAGGCGGCCACCUGGACCAGUACUGACGCUGAGGCACGAAAGCGUGGGGAGCAAACAGG